CGGACGGGUGAGUAACGCGUGAGAAUCUGCCUUCAGGUCGGGGACAACCACUGGAAACGGUGGCUAAUACCGGAUAAGCCGAGAGGUGAAAGGCUAGCUGCCUGAAGAUGAGCUCGCGUCUGAUUAGCUAGUUGGUAGGGUAAGAGCCUACCAAGGCGACGAUCAGUAGCUGGUCUGAGAGGAUGACCAGCCACACUGGGACUGAGACACGGCCCAGACUCCUACGGGAGGCAGCAGUGGGGAAUUUUCCGCAAUGGGCGAAAGCCUGACGGAGCAAUACCGCGUGAGGGAGGAAGGCUCUUGGGUUGUAAACCUCUUUUCUCAGGGAAGAAAAUUGACGGUACCUGAGGAAUAAGCAUCGGCUAACUCCGUGCCAGCAGCCGCGGUAAUACGGAGGAUGCAAGCGUUAUCCGGAAUGAUUGGGCGUAAAGGGUCUGCAGGUGGCCGUGUAAGUCUGCUGUUAAAGAAUCUGGCUUAACCAGAUAAAAGCAGUGGAAACUACAGGGCUAGAGUGCGUUCGGGGUAGAGGGAAUUCCUGGUGUAGCGGUGAAAUGCGUAGAUAUCAGGAAGAACACCAGUGGCGAAAGCGCUCUACUAGGCCGCAACUGACACUGAGGGACGAAAGCUAGGGGAGCGAAUGGGAUUAGAUACCCCUGUAGUC
rnacentral:rRNA from 1 species